rnacentral:rRNA from 1 species
GCCUUUCGAAAGAAAGAUUAAUACCCGAUGGCAUAGUUCUUCCGCAUGGUGAACUAUUAAAGAAUUUCGGUCAUCGAUGGGGAUGCGUUCCAUUAGGUUGUUGGCGGGGUAACGGCCCACCAAGCCUUCGAUGGAUAGGGGUUCUGAGAGGAAGGUCCCCCACAUUGGAACUGAGACACGGUCCAAACUCCUACGGGAGGCAGCAUG